GAUGAACGCUGGCGGCGUGCCUAAUACAUGCAAGUCGAGCGAACAGACGAGAGUGCUUGCACUCUCUGACGUUAGCGGCGGACGGGUGAGUAACACGUGGGUAACCUACCUAUAAGACUGGGAUAACUUCGGGAAACCGGAGCUAAUACCGGAUAAUAUUUAGCUUCGCAUGAAGCAAUAGUGAAAGACGGUUCUGCUGUCACUUAUAGAUGGACCCGCGGUGUAUUAGCUGGUUGGUGAGGUAACGGCUCACCAAGGCAACGAUACAUAGCCGACCUGAGAGGGUGAUCGGCCACACUGGGACUGAGACACGGCCCAGACUCCUACGGGAGGCAGCAGUAGGGAAUCGUCCGCAAUGGACGAAAGUCUGACGGAGCAAUGCCGCGUGAGUGAAGAAGGUGUUCGGAUCGUAAAACUCUGUUGUAAGGGAAGAACAAGUACGUUAGUAACUGAACGUACCUUGACGGUACCUUACCAGAAAGCCACGGCUAACUACGUG
rnacentral:rRNA from 1 species